rnacentral:rRNA from 1 species
AUGCGUUCCCCUCGGUUGGAUUGUUCAUCCUUCUUCGUCGAUGGUGUGCUCGUCCGUUGCAAUAGCCUUCGUGUGCUGGAUGAACACUGCCGGUUGAGGUUGGUUUCUUCCUGUUAUGUCCUGCAUCGACAGUCGCAUCUUUCUGCCAUUGCCGUUGAGGUUCAACGAUCUGCUAGGUUGCUGCAUCUGCAACUUUGUGCUAUUGUUCAAGGAAAUAAGCUGGUCAGCUCUGGGGCAAAAGGUCAGCAAAUCUGCUUGGCUGUUCCUCCCAAGGUGAUGAGAGAUUGCUUGUUGCAGAGUACAUGCCUAGAAAGACAUAUAUCUUUCACUGUGAGUAUGUUAACUGCUUGUGAGCAGGCCACUACUUUACAAAGUUUAUUACAGCAGCAAGGACACUAUGCUUUGAAUAGUUGA